AUUUUUUAAGUUUUAAAUAUUUAAUAAAAACUAGUUGAAACAUUUGUAUAAAUAAAUAAACUCUUGGAAGUCAGCUCAAAAUUAGAGAAAUGUCAUUAAGUUUUGCUUAAAACUUAGAAUCACAACAGUUGUAUAAAUAAAAAUGUUGGCUAGAAACACACAUUUUGCCUUGAGAAUGUAAGUUGAUUUUUUGAUUGCCUACUAAGGUCACAGUUACCAAAAGAGAAACAAUGGUUGGUGCCAAUGGUAACAGUUUUGAUUUUGGCCUCUGGCCAAAUUAACAAAUAGUUUGAUUUCAAUAUUGUAAGUUUGACAUGCAAGGCUUUGUUGUUUUUUUUGUUUGUAUAGCUUGGGAAAACAAAGAAAUGAAUCUAGUUUCAAUGGCAUACCUAUCCAAGUUGUUAAAUCGCAAAAUUAAGAUAUUGUCCACUGUCUCAUUCUGGAACAUCAUCAACACAAAUACCCUAUAACUAUUCCAGAAACACAUUCAGCUAAAAAUGUCUGCUUCAAUACCACACUAGGACUUGUCAAGCGUAUUUCAAAGAAUAAUACAAUAGUCACGGCUUCAAACAAUUUCUUAUAAGGGUAUGUAGCUUACAAUAUCAUUUUGUUAAACUGUAAAAAGAUUAUUCAAAUGACAAAAAAAUAUAUCAUUUUGACUGGUAUUGAACUGCAAAUUGACAAUAAGUAAAGCUUAUAACACUGAAUCAUCCUAAAAUAGAUCAAUAAAUUAAAAACAAAAAUCUACAGGAACAUGUGGCAAUGUUAUGAUAUUGUUUUGUAAUUUCAAAAUGUAAACCAAAAAAACAAAAUGGAAUGACCAGAGAUUGGCAAAAUAAAAACAAUGUGUAAAAUACAUUCAAAGACUCCAUUUCACUUGUUGACAUACAAUACAAAUUAAACAUGGUAACAAAGUAAAGAAAAAUAAAAAUCUCAUUGGAUUAUAUAAAGUGUACAUUGAACCCACAACCUUGUACAUAAUCAAAGAGUAUAGACUUAACUAACUACUGUCAGUCAGGGCACCAUGUCAAUUUAGCCAACCUUAAUAAAAAAUUGUGAAUUUUUUUUCCCCCCCACAAUCUAAUGGAGCAAUUAAAAUGCUAUUAGUGGGUGAAAGGGAACUGUCAACAUUCACAAAUGUAAAUUGUUUGACAUGUUUUGGAUGUUACUUGAGAGUUGAAGAGAAUGUACAUUCUAGACCAAACCUCCCGUAGAACAACGGAGAUGGCAGCGGGCAGGGUAUGAAACAGUCCCACGCAUACCACAUGACCAGGCAGCCAACACUGAACUGAAUUAAAUAAAUAAUCUUAGCAUAUUAAGCCACAAAAAAAAAAAAAAA